CAGUAGGGGAGACUGGAAUUCCUGGUGUAGCGGUGGAAUGCGCAGAUAUCAGGAGGAACACCGAUGGCGAAGGCAGGUCUCUGGGCUGUAACUGACGCUGAGGAGCGAAAGCAUGGGGAGCGAACAGGAUUAGAUACCCUGGUAGUCCAUGCCGUAAACGUUGGGCACUAGGUGUGGGGACCAUUCCACGGUUUCCGCGCCGCAGCUAACGCAUUAAGUGCCCCGCCUGGGGAGUACGGCCGCAAGGCUAAAACUCAAAGGAAUUGACGGGGGCCCGCACAAGCGGCGGAGCAUGCGGAUUAAUUCGAUGCAACGCGAAGAACCUUACCAAGGCUUGACAUGUUCUCGAUCGCCGUAGAGAUACGGUUUCCCCUUUGGGGCGGGUUCACAGGUGGUGCAUGGUUGUCGUCAGCUCGUGUCGUGAGAUGUUGGGUUAAGUCCCGCAACGAGCGCAACCCUCGUUCCAUGUUGCCAGCACGUCGUGGUGGGGACUCAUGGGAGACUGCCGGGGUCAACUCGGAGGAAGGUGAGGACGACGUCAAAUCAUCAUGCCCCUUAUGUCUUGGGCUUCACGCAUGCUACAAUGGCCGGUACAAUGGGUUGCGAUACUGUGAGGUGGAGCUAAUCCCAAAAAUCCGGUCUCAGUUCGGAUUGGGGUCUGCAACUCGACCCCAUGAAGUCGGAGUCGCUAGUAAUGGCAGAUCAGCAACGCUGCGGUGAAUACGUUCCCGGGCCU
rnacentral:rRNA from 1 species